AGCCGUCAGCCAGGUUGAGGGACAUGAGUCGGAGUACUCCUCCUUCACAAACCCGAUUUUCAGUUCCACAGACAUGGGCCCGAACCUACCAAGUGCCACAGAGUUUGAGAGCAGCGACUGGCCAACCCCGCCCAACCAGUAACCACCAGACCGAGCUGUACACGAUUUUAUUAUACUACAAACUUUUUUCUUUCAAUUUUACAUUACGGUUUACAACUGUACGGUGUUUUAUACCCAUGUCCCAUACCGUACAAUAAAAAUUAGUUUAAGCAUGGAUUCGGUUUUUUUCAGAAAUUGAUAGAAAAAAAUAACAUGAACCUUUGGUCUGUUUUGGCGCUGGGGUAUUGGAUCUCCCUAAUUUCCAGCAGUUUCCAAAGACGGAGCCUGGUGUCACAAUAUUGCUUGAGAAGAGGAAAAACUAGAAAUGUCAUGCUAGAAGUCACCUUGGGUGUGCUAGAAGCCACAUUAUCCACACAAAUGGUGAUCUAUUAUCUGUUCCUGAUGCCCGAGGGCAAGGGCAAUCAGUACUCCUUCAACAUACUGUGCGCCCUCUCAAACUGGAUCUAAACCCCUGCUGGACUCGUACCAUUGCCUUAAAUUAUAGUUUUAUUGUAAAAAAGUGUAUUUUUACACGGUUUUAAUAAAUAUGUUAUGUAUA